UACACAAAUAGCCCUCCCAACAAUAUUACUUAUUUUCAGUUUAGCAGUUCAAAAACUGACGUUUUUCGUCAGAGCCCUUCUGAAUGUUCGUUUGCACUCAAAUUUGACAGUUAGGCUCGGUUUAAACUAAUAAGAAGAAAGAAAUUUUAAUCUUUCAGUUUGGACCAUUUUUGGUUACCGAAAGCUCUACUGAUUAGAAUCUCUUGCAGAUACCAGUUAGAUUUUAUUUUUCACUUUCUGGAUGUCGAAAUGAUAUGAAACUUUAAAUCUAGCCUCAUAAAAAUAAUCCCGACAUAUUUUCAGAUUUUCAUAAUUUUCUAAUACUGUGAAUUUUCUACUAAAAGAUCAGCCCCGUUUCUUAUAGAAAAUUCUAAAUCUUCUGUUUCUGUUCCAGUUUCAGCACAAGUCAUUUCCAACUUAUAUUUUACUUCUUUAAGUCCAAUAAAAAUAGUAUCUUACACUAUUUUUAUUUACACUUACUUUUACAUUAAGAAUCCGGUACAUUACAAACACGCUUAGAACGAAGCGACAAUGAAUGAAUUGAACCGAUUUAAUGGUGCGGGCAAUAAACGAAGCUAACCGGUCAAACAAUAAGAAGAGGAACCGGUAGUUCAAUUACUUUGAGGAGGGAAGGAGCGGCAAUGUACCCGGUCAAUUUUUCAUCUAGAGGAAACACGUUCGGAACGAAGCGACAAUAAAUGAAUUGAACUGGUUUAAUGGUAGGGGCAACAAACGAAACGAACCGGUGUAACAAGAGAAGAGGAAUCGGUGGUUUAAUCACUCUGAGGAGGGAAGAAGGAGUGGCGAUGUACCUGGUCAAUUUUUUGUCUAGAGGAACGAAGCGACAAUAAAUGAAUUGAACCGAUUUAAUGGUAGGGGCAAAAAAUGAAACGAACCGGUCUAACAAUAAGAAGAGGAACCAGUGGUUCAAUUAAAAAAAA
rnacentral:lncRNA from 1 species